rnacentral:tRNA from 1 species
GCCGAAGUGGCGGAAUUGGCAGACGCAGCGGACUCAAAAUCCGCCGGUGGCAACACCGUAGGGGUUCGACUCCCCUCUUCGGCACCA